GGUUCCAUCGCUCAGUUGGUUGGUGUGUGGUGCUAAUAUUACCGGUAUUCAAAUGUUAAUGCCAGGUCGAGGGUUCGAUCCCCCUCUGGAACCA